GGACCGAACCCACGAGCGUUGAAAAGCUCGGGGAUGACUUGUGGAUAGCGGUGAAAUUCCAAUCGAACCCGGAGAUAGCUGGUUCUCCCCGAAAUAGCUUUAGGGCUAGCCUCAAGCGUAGAGAAACGGAGGUAGAGCACUGAAUGUCCUAGGGGGUAUUGCACUUACCGAAGACUAUCAAACUCCGAAUGCCGUUUUCUUUUACUUGGGAGUCAGACUGUGGGUGAUAAGAUUCAUAGUCAAAAGGGCAACAGCCCAGAUCGUCAGCUAAGGUCCCUAAAUGUACGUUAAGUGGUAAAGGAUGUGGGAUUGCACAGACAACCAGGAUGUUGGCUUAGAAGCAGCCACUCAUUUAAAGAGUGCGUAAUAGCUCACUGGUCGAGUGAUCCUGCGCCGAAAAUUUCCGGGGCUAAAACGUACUACCGAAGCUACGGCAUCAUUUAUGAUGGGUAGGGGAGCUUCGUAUGCAGGCUGAAGCAUGACCGUAAGGACAUGUGGACAGUAUACGAGUGAGAAUGUUGGCAUGAGUAGCGAGACGUGGGUGAGAAUCCCACGGGCCGUAAACCCAAGGUUUCCAGGGGAAGGUUCGUCCGCCCUGGGUUAGUCGGGACCUAAGCCGAGGCCGAAAGGCGUAGGUGAUGGACAACAGGUUGAUAUUCCUGUACCGCCAAUAAGCGUUUGAGAGAUGGAGUGACACAGUAGGAUAAGCUAACCGUACUGUUGGUUAUGUACGGCUAAGCAUUGAGGCAGUCUAAAUAGGCAAAUCCGUUUAGACAAUGCUAGGAUGUGAUGGGGAAGCCCUUCGGGGCGAAGUAGCUGAUUUCACACUGUCAAGAAAAGCUUCUAUCGAGUUUAAAGGCGCCCGUACCGUAAACCGACACAGGUGGGUGAGGAGAGUAUCCUAAGGCCAGCGAGAGAACUAUUGUUAAGGAACUCGGCAAAAUGACCCCGUAACUUAGGGAGAAGGGGUGCCUGUCUAUGACAGGCCGCAGAGAAUAGGCCCAAGCGACUGUUUACCAAAAACACAGGUUUCUGCUAAGUCGCAAGACGAUGUAUAGGAGCUGACGCCUGCCCGGUGCUGGAAGGUUAAGGGGAUCUGUUAGAGCAAUCGAAGCAGUGAACUUAAGCCCCAGUAAACGGCGGCCGUAACUAUAACGGUCCUAAGGUAGCGAAAUUCCUUGUCGGGUAAGUUCCGACCCGCACGAAAGGCGUAACGAUUUGGGCACUGUCUCAACAAUAGACUCGGUGAAAUUGUAAUCCCGGUGAAGAUGCCGGGUACCUGCGACAGGACGGAAAGACCCCAUGGAGCUUUACUGUAGCUUGACGUUGGGUCUUGGUACUACAUGUACAGGAUAGGUGGGAGACUAUGAAGCAUGGACGCCAGUCUGUGUGGAGUCAUCCUUGGGAUACCACCCUUGUAGUACUGGGAUCCUAACCAUAGGCCUUGAAUCAGGUCUUGGAACACCGUCAGGUGGGCAGUUUGACUGGGGCGGUCGCCUCCUAAAAAGUAACGGAGGCGCUCAAAGGUUUCCUCAGCACGGUCGGAAAUCGUGCGAAGAGUGUAAAGGCAAAAGGAAGCUUGAUUGCAAGACAUACAGGUCGAGCAAGGACGAAAGUCGGACUUAGUGAUCCGGUGGUACCGCAUGGAAGGGCCAUCGCUCAACGGAUAAAAGCUACCCUGGGGAUAACAGGCUUAUCUCCCCCAAGAGUCCACAUCGACGGGGAGGUUUGGCACCUCGAUGUCGGCUCAUCACAUCCUGGGGCUGUAGUAGGUCCCAAGGGUUGGGCUGUUCGCCCAUUAAAGUGGUACGCGAGCUGGGUUCAGAACGUCGUGAGACAGUUCGGUCCCUAUCCGUCGCAGGCGUAGGAAAUUUGAGAAGACCUGUCCUUAGUACGAGAGGACCGGGAUGGACGUACCUCUGGUGUACCAGUUGUUCUGCCAAGGGCAUGGCUGGGUAGCUAUGUACGGAAUGGAUAAGCGCUGAAAGCAUCUAAGCGCGAAGCCAACUUCAAGAUAAGAUUUCCCACCGUAAGGGUAAGACCCCAGGAAGACUACCUGGUUGAUAGGUCGAAGGUGUAAGUGCAGUAAUGUAUUUAGCUUAUCGAUACUAAUAGGUCGAGGACUUGACCAA
rnacentral:rRNA from 1 species